UACGUAGGGUGCGAGCGUUGCCCGGAUUUAUUGGGCGUAAAGGGCGCGUAGGCGGCUCCGCACGUUCGUUGUGAAAUCGCCCGGCUCAACUGGGCGGGGUCAGCGGAUACGGCGGAGCUUGAGCAAGCUAGGGGGCAAUGGAAUUCCCGGUGUAGUGGUGGAAUGCGUAGAUAUCGGGAGGAACACCAGUGGCGAAGGCGGUUGCCUGGGGCUUUGCUGACGCUGAUGCGCGAAAGCGUGGGGAGCGAUCCGG
rnacentral:rRNA from 1 species